CCUACGGGGGGCAGCAGUGGGGAAUAUUGCACAAUGGAGGAAACUCUGAUGCAGCGAUGCCGCGUGAGGGAAGAAGGUUUUCGGAUUGUAAACCUCUGUCUUAAGGGACGAUAAUGACGGUACCUUAGGAGGAAGCUCCGGCUAACUACGUGCCAGCAGCCGCGGUGAUACGUAGGGGGCAAGCGUUAUCCGGAAUUACUGGGUGUAAAGGGAGCGUAGACGGCUGUGCAAGUCUGGAGUGAAAGGCGGGGGCCCAACCCCCGGACUGCUCUGGAAACUGUAUGGCUGGAGUGCAGGAGAGGUAA
rnacentral:rRNA from 1 species